CCAUAAUGGAACAUCUAGUUUAGGUGGGCCAAACAGCCGGUAAGCUUAAGAAUUGGUGGUAAGCUCUUGCAAGAACUUGCAAGCUUCUUGUGUUAAAUUUCAUUUAUGUGCCUGUAUUUGUUCUUGAAUCCUUGUUCUUUUUGUGUACUUUAUAAGGAGGUUGCAGUAACUCACAGCACUACAGUUUUCUUUCCCUGUACUUUGUAACAUAUAGCUGUACAUAGUUACUGUUAUUUGCGUUUUGAUUAAAAUGAGAACAUAAUUCUUAUGAUCUACAAUGUCCAUAUAGUGUAUCUCUUCUAGAUGGAAAGGUGUGCAGAAGGGAUUUGUACCAAUUGACCGGGUAGCAAUUGAACAGGAAGAGGCGUAGUAAGGAUAAAAUAGUAGAAGAGCACUAGAGGAUGCUUGAAUGAAUUGUAAAGCGGGAUGAGAAGUGUCGCAAAAGAAUCAAUUCUGCUGGUAUCGAUUACGAGUGUCCAGCCCCUCUCCAUCACCCGCUUGAAAGAGAGGAGAAGGGUUGCCUCCCGUCCGUCUCAUCCCAUCCCCUUGUGCCAGCCAUGAAAGAGAGGAGGGAGAGCAGAAAUGAGCGUGGUGGCAAUGCGCCGAUGCUGGCCGGUUGAGGCAUGGUCGACGUGUCAGUCAAGGGGUCCCUGCAUUUGUGAUAUAUGAUGGUCGGCUCGCUGUGGCGGUCGGCCAUGGAAUAGUUGUGAGGGAGAGCACCCGUUUAGCGCCUCUCCGCAUAGUUCUUCCUUCCCCUACCGCCGGUCAACAGUUCGAUAUCCUUGUCCAAGGCCGGCGUGUACAGUUUCAGCCUCGUUCCCAUGGAUGGCAAAGUCUGUCUUGUCAUGAU